UACGGGGGGGGUAAGCGUUGUUCGGAAUUACUGGGCGUAAAGGGCUCGUAGGCGGCCAACUAAGUCAGACGUGAAAUCCCUCAGCUUAACUGGGGAACUGCGUCUGAUACUGGAUGGCUUGGAUUCGGGAGAGGAAUGCGAAAUUCCAGGUGUAGCGGUGAAAUGCGUAGAUAUCGUCAAGAACACCGAUAGUGUAGACAGCUUACUAGGCUACAACUGACGCUGAGGCACGAAAGUGUGGGGAUCAAACAGG
rnacentral:rRNA from 1 species